rnacentral:lncRNA from 1 species
GGGAAGAUGGGGGGUUGAGGAAGAAAGUCCGGCGACCUGGGUAGUUGGUAGAAGAAGGAAAGAUAAGGAAUAAGUGAAGAAUGGCCAGAAACCGGGUUGAUGGCGAGAACAGAGAGGGGGGGAGAUUAACUUUUAAUUUUCUUUGCGGCUAGGUAGAUGUGAGAUGCUGAGUUAGGGAUAACUUCGAAUUUUUAACUCUUUUUUCUUUUAAUUUUAUUUUUAUAUAUUUUUUGUUAUAAUUUCAUUAAGGGUAAAAUAGUAUAUUUACAUAAAAAAUGGUUUGUAUUAUUAUAUUUUUAUUUGUGUGGAUUUUAUUAACUUUUUGUUAAGAAAAUUGGUUAUUUAGAAGUAUUAACACUGAAA